AGCGAACGCUGGCGGCAGGCCUAACACAUGCAAGUCGAGCGGCCGUAGCAAUACGGCAGCGGCAGACGGGAGAGUAACACGUGGGAACGUGCCCUUCAGUUCGGAACAACCCAGGGAAACUUGGGCUAAUACCGGAUACGCCCUUACGGGGAAAGAAUUAUCGCUGAAGGAUCGGACCGCGUCUGGUUAGCUAGUUGGUGUGGUAAUGGCCCACCAAGGCGACGAUCAGUAGCUGGUCUGAGAGGAGGAUCAGCCGCACUGGGACUGAGACACGGCCCAGACUACUACGGGAGGCAGCAGUGGGGAAUAUUGGACAAUGGGCGCAAGCCUGAACCAGCCGUGCCGCGUGGAUGAUGAAGGCCCUCGCGUUGUAAAGUCCUUUCGGCGGGGAAGAUAAUGACGAUACCCGCAGAAGAAGCCCCGGCUAACUUCGUGCCAGCCGCCGCGGUAAUAC
rnacentral:rRNA from 1 species